CGGCGGAUGGGUGAGUAACGCGUAGGUAAUCUGCCUUCAGGACGGGGAUAACCCACCGAAAGGUGAGCUAAUACCGGAUGAUGCAGCGGGGCCGCAUGGCCACAGUUGUUAAAUCCUUCGGGAGCCUGGAGAUGAACCUGCGUGCCAUUAGCUAGUUGGUAGGGUCAAAGCCUACCAAGGCGAUGAUGGCUAGGGGGUCUGAGAGGAUGAUCCCCCACACUGGGACUGAGACACGGCCCAGACUCCUACGGGAGGCAGCAGUGAGGAAUCUUGCGCAAUGGGGGCAACCCUGACGCAGCCACGCCGCGUGCUGGAAGACGGCCCUAUGGGUUGUAAACAGCUUUUACUGGGGAAGAACCUGGACCUUUCGAGGACCACUGACGGUACCCAGUGAAUAAGCACCGGCUAACUCCGUGCCAGCAGCCGCGGUAAUACGGAGGGUGCAAGCGUUGUCCGGAAUCAUUGGGUGUAAAGGGUGUGCAGGCGGAAGUCUAAGUCGGAGGUGAAAUCUUGCCGCUUAACGGUAAAAGGGCCUUCGAAACUGGAUUUCUUGAGUUCGGAAGAGGUUGGUGGAAUUCGUGGUGUAGCGGUGAAAUGCAUAGAUAUCACGAAGAACACCGGUGGCGAAGGCGGCCAACUGGUCCGAUACUGACGCUGAGACACGAGAGCGUGGGGAGCGAACAGGAUUAGAUACCCUGGUAGUCCACGCU
rnacentral:rRNA from 1 species